AGGGGGAGGAAAGCCCUUUCCACACUGCAAGCCUCAAUUUGGAAGCAGAGCACCGGUCUGGGGAAAACCCUAUACCUGGUGUUUACCUGCCUCCGGCCCUCCCUGCUCUACCUCCCACAUACACGCACAGACUCUCUGGCCCGCGCUAUCGGUUGCAGCGCAUCUAAAAAGAACCAAAGGCCAUCACCACCAGUUGUUCCUCCAGCUCCGUGUAACUUCGCAGGACUCGUAAUCUCUAGACAAGUAAAUAUGACACCGUCAGUUUCUGAUUCAAUGAUCCUUGUUCCAAACACAAGUUCCAUGCGGAUAGUGACGACAAGGUCAUUGUGAGAGAAAGCAUGGAGACCACUGUCUGGCUCCCUCAUUAAUUAUCAGCAUCACUGGAUGAGCCAAGAGAUGUUCAGAAAGCUGGCAAAGUGCCUUUGUGGAUGUGUCUGUGUGAUGUCUCUGGAAGAAGGGACAUCCAUGUCUUUCCAGGAAACGCUGCACAAUGUGUUUCCACACUUUGAAGCUACACUUUCAAGACCACAGAAGAUACACUACCAAAAUCCUCUGCUUUGGAAACCACAGGAGACUUUUAUAA